GGUCCGAACCCACGAGCGUUGAAAAGCUCGGGGAUGACUUGUGGGUAGCGGUGAAAUUCCAAUCGAGCCCGGAGAUAGCUGGUUCUCCCCGAAAUAGCUUUAGGGCUAGCCUCAAGGUGAGAGAUACGGAGGUAGAGCACUGAAUGUCCUAGGGGGUAUUGCACCUACCGAAGACUAUCAAACUCCGAAUGCCGUCAUCUUAUACUUGGGAGUCAGACUGUGGGUGAUAAGAUUCAUAGUCGAAAGGGCAACAGCCCAGAUCGUCAGCUAAGGUCCCUAAAUGUAAGUUAAGUGGUAAAGGAUGUGGGAUUGCACAGACAACCAGGAUGUUGGCUUAGAAGCAGCCACUCAUUCAAAGAGUGCGUAAUAGCUCACUGGUCGAGUGAUCCUGCGCCGAAGAUUUCCGGGCCUAAAACUUACUACCGAAGCUACGGCAUCAGUAAUGAUGGGUAGGGGAGCUUCCCAUACGGGUUGAAGCAUGACCGUAAGGACAUGUGGACAGUAUGGGAGUGAGAAUGUUGGCAUGAGUAGCGAGAUGUGGGUGAGAAUCCCACAGGCCGUAAACCCAAGGUGUCCAGGGGAAGGUUCGUCCGCCCUGGGUUAGUCGGGACCUAAGCUGAGGCCGAAAGGCGUAGGUGAUGGACAACAGGUUGAUAUUCCUGUACUACCGAUAACCGUUUGAGAGAUGGGAUGACACAGUAGGAUAAGCUAAGCACACUGUUGGUUAUGUGUGCCCAAGCAUUGAGGCAGUCAAAGUAGGCAAAUCCGCUUUGAUAAUGCUGGGAUGUGAUGGGGAGCGAAAUUUAGUAGCGAA
rnacentral:rRNA from 1 species